CUUAUACUCCCCCCGUCCCAAAAUUCUUGUCUUAGAUUAGUCUAGAUAUGGAUGUACAUCCGUAUCUAGACUAAUCUAAGACAAGAAUUUUGGGACGGAGGGAGUAUUUC
rfam:Triticum urartu cultivar G1812 contig267249, whole genome shotgun sequence.